AAACCUCAGUUUCUCUGUUAAUCCCUUAGUCCCACUUUUCUCAAUUCUAACUCUGUUUCCCAGAAUGCUUGCAGCAUUUCCCAGGUAACUACCAAGUUUUGCUCAUCAUCCAAGUAAUAAAUGAAAACAUUAAAUAGUCCUGCACUGAAAAUGCCCAGAGGAUGCUUAUUAUAUUCAGAGUCCUGCAACCUGUACUUUGUUGCAGACCCAACCUUGGGAGCUGGAGUCAUGGAAUAGUUGGGUUGUGCUGAUUCCCUCAUUGUCUUUGGAGCCAUUGCUGGUCUUUGUUCUUUCUGUCUUGCACUGAGAAGCCUGAAACAGGACAAGUCGAAUCUGACAUCCUGUAGCUGUAGGUGUUUAGGAAGGGAAUUUUUGAUGAGUUGAAAAAGGCUUGGAGAAAGCUUACAUGGAUCUGCACCCAUUGGCGACUCAGUUUCUCCGAGUUGUGUAUAAAAAUCAUUUUUAAUGAUACUUCUGUGUCUGACCCACAAAUGGUCAUUGUUCAUAGCUGCUAGAUCAAUACUUUUUUAAAAAAAACAACCUUUGGUCAAUCAGAUCUCAAGGUUUGAAGUGUUAUUUUGUGAAACAUGUGGACAAGGGAGAAGGGGAAGACACGCUCUCUGCUUCAAAACGUUUUCUUUCUUGCCACUUGCUUCAAAUAUAAUCUGCAGCUGUUUUUAUUUUAUGUUGGUGCUUUACUACACCUGAUGUGAUCAGAAACACUUUUUUAUCCUCUGCACUGACAUUUCUAAAACCAAAGCAACUGAGAGAUGCUUGACAGAGUUGGGAAGACACAGGGACUGUGGCUUACAGUUAAGGCAGAUGUGAUUGCAACAUCUGUGCCUAGGAAAGCUGCAGUCUGAUCUGCCUUCUGUCUUCAGGAUUUCUGGGAUUCCAGAAGCAGAAGUGGUGCAGAUAAGACAUGUCCUCUGAGGUUUUGAAAGGCUUCUGCUCAGAUUGUAAAGCUCUUCCUUAUUAGGCCCACAGGAAACACAUCUCUAGCACAGCCAAAUUGGUAUCAUUGUUAAAUACUUCUCCUCUGGCUCUCCGGUGGUAACUCUGCUCCGUGGUGGGGUUAUUUGGGAUGAAGAGCCUCUGUGUAUUGACUAGCUGAGUAUAUUACUGGCAUGUAACUGUGUGUGGUAAUUUCUGACUUGGAAGCUGUGAUGCGAUCCAAAGAACAGUUUAUAGAGGGUUUUCUACCUUUUUCCUUAAAUUGGGCUCUGUAGGCCUAAAAUUUGGGACUUCUAAACUUGAAAUCUCCAUUAGAACACAAUCUAGUAACUAGGAAGAAAAACCCCAAAGCCUUGGCAUCAGACAAAUGAAAAUUCAUUUUCUUUAAUGACUCUCCCCUUUGCCAGCUGUGUUUUUGGAAAAUGGGUCUUUGCACUUGGUUUAUUUUUAGUGCAACCACUGUGUUGGUUUCUGGGUGGCAUAAAAUUGUGCCUAUUCCUCUGUGGGUUGUGAAGGAAGCCCUGCCCUUUCCCUCAUCUCUGAGCAGCAGUCAUGGGGCUACUUCCUGACCUUGGGACUGUUCUUAUAUUGGGGCUCCCCUCUUGCUGUGCUUCUCCUCUGCUGUUGUGUCCUGCUCUGAAGGCUGUGCCAGGUGAGAUGUGCUUGCUGUUCUUUUUCCUUUCAGGUGAGCUCUUCUGGGCUGAUGUGCAGCUGGUGGGAAGAGAGAAGCUGGUGGCCUUCCUCUGUUCUGUAUGUACCUUUGAACAGACUUCCCUGAAGGUGGUGCAUGGCAGGCAAAGCAGAUUGAAGAAUGCUUCUACUGUCAGGAGAAUUGCACUUGGAGAUCUGUCCAUUGGACUGAAGCAGAUAAGAUGGAUUGGAAGAAGCACUGCUGACCACUGAGAUCCAUUGCCAAGAUUCCCAAAGUGCUUUGGUGAAGACCUCUGAAGCAGCUCCAGCUGGUAUUUACUGCUCCCAGUUUUGAAUGCAGAUUUCGGACAGUUCUGAAGUAUUUGGAAAAUGAGUGUCCUUCUCAUUGAACCCUUUUAUGGUGGCUCUCACAAGCAGCUGAUGGAUCUUCUCCAGGAAGAGCUACAAGAAGAUUGUGUCCUCUGCACACUCCCAGCCAAGAAGUGGCAUUGGAAGGCACGGACUUCUGCUCUUUAUUUCAUGCAAACAGUGCCAACAAGUUCUAAUUACAGGAUCCUCUUUGCAAGCUCGGUGCUUAACCUGGCUGAACUCGCCGCCCUGCGCCCUGACCUUGGCAAAUUGAAAAAGGUCCUCUACUUCCAUGAGAACCAAUUGGCAUAUCCUGUCCAGAAAUGCCAGGAAAGGGAUUUUCAGUAUGGAUACAACCAGAUUCUUUCAUGUUUGGUUGCUGAUGUUGUGGUGUUCAACUCUGCUUUUAAUAUGGAAUCCUUUCUUAAAUCCAUUGGAAAAUUUAUGAAGCUGAUUCCUGACCACAGACCUAAGGAUUUGGAAAAUAUAAUCAGACCGAAGUGCCAAGUUCUUUAUUUUCCAGUCAGGUUUCCUGAUGUGAGCAGGUUCAUGCCAGAGCAUAAACUUGCCCGUUUGGAAAAGGUAAUUGGUGUUAAAAGGAGUGGAGAUGCUUAUCAGUCGGAGGGGCUGGCUGGCCAGCAGGAGAGCAGAGGUGUAAUGAAAAGCAGUGAUGCACGUCCUGAGUCUGGACUUUGUGAGCCCCAGCCUGGACUCUGCACCACACAGCACGAGGGGCUGCCCUCCCCACCAGCAGCCCCAGUCCAGGCUGAGGCACCAGAAAGCACAAAUCCUUGUCAAGGGGAAGAUAAGCAACGUCUGACUUUUAACCUCUCUAAUAUCUUGAGUGGACUGGACUAUCAGCAAAGACCUCUGCACAUUGCCUGGCCUCACAGGUGGGAACACGACAAAGAUCCUGAAACUUUUUUUAAAGUCCUGAUGAAGCUGAAAGAGCAAGAUCUGCCUUUCCACGUGUCCGUCCUCGGAGAGACUUUCAGUGAAAUUCCAGAUAUCUUUCCAGAGGCCAGGGAGGUGUUGGGAUCCUCCGUCCUGCACUGGGGGUACUUGCCCAGCAGGGAUGAUUAUUUCCGAGCUCUGUGCACGGCCGAUGUUGUCAUCUCCACAGCCAAACACGAAUUCUUUGGCGUGGCAAUGAUCGAGGCUGUGCAUUGUGGCUGUUACCCGCUGUGUCCCAAAGCCUUGGUGUACCCAGAGAUAUUCCCAGCUGAAUAUCUGUAUUCUACACCUGAACAGCUUUUUAAAAGGCUUCAGAAUUUCUGCAAGAGACCAGAUAUUGUAAGGAAACAUCUCUAUAAGGAGCUGCAAUCUGGGCCUGGAAGGGAGACAUGCAGAUAUUAAACACCAAUUCUGUCCAAUUUCUGACGGGACAAGAAAUACUAUAUUCCACCAAGAAGGCAACAAGAGUACACUACUUGACCGAAGAGACCCAGAAAGGUUCUGGGAGAUAAAGACCCCUCUGAUGUGGAACAGGUGGCUCGUCCAGGUCAUUGAGCUGCGAGAGCCGGGCGUGUGGCAGUCCCACCUUGGGGACAUAGCUGGCAUUUAAAGGUCACUCCCUGGCAGGUCCUCGGCACCUUCCCAGCAGCAGGUGACCUCCGUGACUGCUCUCCCAUCUCACACAUCCGCCUCAUCGAGGAGCCAGGCUGCACCUUUGUGGAACUGUUUGCAGAAGAACGAGGCGUGAUCACAACUAAGCUGAAGGGUGUCAUAUUUGCUUUACCACCGACAUGAGGACCAGUGGUUGAAUAUUCGAUUACAUGUCAGUCACAGCACAUUAGGCAAUCUUCCAGUCUGCCAGCUUUGCCCUUCCCAGCUCCCAGCUAAGUGUCAUCAGGAAAGAAGUAGCACUGUGAAGGCAGCAAUUGGCUUGCUCUGUGAGCUUCAGUCUCCAUGAAAACUGUCCUCUCUUACCAUUCCAGUGAGUCUAUUGGGGUCCCUCAUACUCUGGAGAGAGGAAGGUUGUUCGUGCCUCCUGACUGUGGAUUCAAACCACUCAUGGUGCAGUUGCUACUCAAUUUCAUCUCUAGAUCCAAAGGUAUGAAUGUGUGCAAAAGCAGCAAAUGUUGUGUUGAAAAAUUAAGGAGCUGUCAUUCCAACUACAUUACCAAAAAUAUCCUGCUCUUUCAAAUAAAGUGGCUAUAAAAACUUGUUGCUCUGACUGAGCAUUUUCUGGACUGUUUUGCUUGCAAAUUACUUAGAGAAAAUAUGCUAGGAGUGGAAGUUAAGGACUGUGGACAAUUUCCCACUUUGCUUAAGCCAGAAAAAUCCCAUCUCAGCUCCAAGAAGGAAACUACUUUCCAAAAUCUCAUGCAGAAAGUCCCGGUUCAGCUGGAACGCGCCGCUCUGUUUGCGCUCGGUGGUUUCUGGAAUAAUAAAAAGCCCUGUACACCCAUGCCGGCAAGCACAAGCACCAAAGGAUGAUGUGGGCAGAUAAUUCCCUUUUGGAAUUGGCAUUAGGGGCUUAAUAUGGGUUUUGUUAAGCAUCCUCCACCUGUUAGCACCAGCCACGUGAGAAGUAAAUGGGUAGCGUUCCCACUUUGCAUCGUCUUCCAAGGUUGGGCUGCACCUCCUGUUUGGAGAGUUUCAAAGUGAAUUUGAAAUCAAAGGAGACAACACUGCCGUGACUGGGCGGGACAUUCAUAAGCAGAACUUUAGCUUUGUCUGCUUUGAUUUCAGAUUCACUUUGAGUGUUUUUCUGGCAGGAAGUGCAGGCAUCACAAGGCUCUUGGUAGCAGCAUCACCAUUAACUUUCCAAGUGACCCUUACUAUUUAGCUGGAGAGACAAUAAGACUGUGGUGGGUGUCAAUGGGAAUAACCUUUAUGAUACUUCCAAAGCUUCAAUUCUGUCCUCGGGCUCCACAACUCCAAGAAAUACUUAGAGGGAGAGACUGCCUGCGGAGUGAGGAGUGCAGUGUGAUGGAUGAAACAAUAAAAAUGACACUGCUGGUAAAAGUGAAAGUUUAUGUGUUGUGCUUGUGAUUGAUGUCAGGGUGGUGGCAUCUGGACCCUGUGUCAUAUUACGGGUGCAGCAUGAGACCCUCCGUGAGGCAGGAUGGCUGCACCCGUGGCUGGUAAGUCCAGGGAGGUGAAUUUGGCCUGUUUGGUGAAAAAACACCUCCAUGAGGAAUUGUCUGCAAGGAUUGAGGGCAUCUCUCAGUAAAAGAGCGAGGUGGAAAGUGCAGGUCUCCAUUUUGGGUUGCUCUUGGAGAAAAUGGCUGUUUUCCCCCCAUUUCACCCAGCUCCUCCUUGCCCAUGUUUGAAAAGGGCAUCCUCAGUGCUGACAGCAGAGCUGUUACAGACAGAAGGACUGGGCUGAGAGCAGCCAGGGAAGUGCAC